GAUGAACGCUGGCGGCGUGCUUAACACAUGCAAGUCGAACGAUGAAGCUCAGCUUGCUGGGUGGAUUAGUGGCGAACGGGUGAGUAACACGUGAGUAACCUGCCCUUAACUCUGGGAUAAGCCUGGGAAACUAGGUCUAAUACCGGAUAGGAGCGCCUACCGCAUGGUGGGUGUUGGAAAGAUUUAUCGGUUUUGGAUGGACUCGCGGCCUAUCAGCUUGUUGGUGAGGUAAUGGCUCACCAAGGCAACGACGGGUAGCCGGCCUGAGAGGGUGACCGGCCACACUGGGACUGAGACACGGCCCAGACUCCUACGGGAGGCAGCAGUGGGGAAUAUUGCACAAUGGGCGAAAGCCUGAUGCAGCGACGCCGCGUGAGGGAUGACGGCCUUCGGGUUGUAAACCUCUUUCAGUAGGGAAGAAGCGAAAGUGACGGUACCUGCAGAAGAAGCACCGGCUAACUACGUG
rnacentral:rRNA from 1 species